rnacentral:rRNA from 1 species
CAGUAGCCACGGUAAAACGUAGGUCCCGAGCGUUGUCCGGAUUUAUUGGGCGUAAAGCGAGCGCAGGCGGUUAGAUAAGUCUGAAGUUAAAGGCUGUGGCUUAACCAUAGUAUGCUUUGGAAACUGUUUAACUUGAGUGCAGAAGGGGAGAGUGGAAUUCCAUGUGUAGCGGUGAAAUGCGUAGAUAUAUGGAGGAACACCGGUGGCGAAAGCGGCUCUCUGGUCUGUAACUGACGCUGAGGCUCGAAAGCGUGGGGAGCAAACAGGAUUAGAUACCCGGGUAGUCCCUGUCUCUUAUACC